rnacentral:lncRNA from 1 species
UCAAGAGAUGUAAUUAUGAGUUUUUGGGUUAAAUUUGAUAUUUUAUUAAUCAAAUUAAAAAAUUCUAAAAUUAAAUGGGUCAAUCCAUCUAAAAAUAACAAAAUUAGAAAAAUAGCCUACUCCUAUCCUCCCGACCCAGCUCAAUCCAAGUCUAUAAAAGCUACAACAUCUAACCCUUGAGUAGGGUUUUCAAUAACGAUCAGCACCUCCUAUUUUCAGCUUCC